rnacentral:lncRNA from 1 species
ACGAAGGGAACGUCAACGUUUGGCAAGCGUUGCAAUAAGACACACAGGUUGUGCCACCAAUAUGGCUCUAAGGCCUACCACCUUCAGAAGUCGACCUGUGGAGUCGACCUGUGGCAAAUGUGGCUACCCUGCCAAGCACAAGAGGAAGUAUAACUGGAGUGCCAAGGCUCAAAGAUGAAAUGCCACUGGGACUGGUCGAAUGAGACACCUAAAAGCUGUAUACCACAGAUUCAGGCAUGGAUUUCGUGAAGAAACAACACCUAAACACAAAAGGGCAGCUGUUGCAGCAUCCGAGUCAUCU